rnacentral:rRNA from 1 species
AUUGAACGCUGGCGGCAGGCCUAACACAUGCAAGUCGAGCGAGCGGCGGACGGGUGAGUAAUGCCUGGGAAUUGCCCAGUCGAGGGGGAUAACAGUUGGCAAGGACUGCUAAUACCGCAUACGACUGGCUUGCCCAGGUGGGAGUAGCUUGUUGGUGGGGUAACGGCUCACCAAGGCGACGAUCCCUAGCUGGUCCGAGAGGAUGAUCAGCCACACUGGAACUGAGACACGGUCCAGACUCCUACGGGAGGCAGCAGUGGGGAAUAUUGCACAAUGGGGGAAAGCCUGAUGCAGCCAUGCCGCGUGUGUGAAGAAGGCCUUCGGGUUGUAAAGCACUUUCAGCGGGGAGGCGUUACUCGCAGAAGAAGCACCGGCUAACUCCGUGCCAGCAGCCGCGGUAAUUC